AACGAACGCUGGCGGCAGGCCUAACACAUGCAAGUCGAGCGAAGCCUUCGGGCUUAGCGGCGGACGGGUGAGUAACGCGUGGGAACGUGCCCUUUGGUACGGAAUAGCCCCGGGAAACUGGGAGUAAUACCGUAUGUGGUCGAGAGACGAAAGAUUUAUCGCCAAAGGAUCGGCCCGCGUUGGAUUAGGUAGUUGGGGGGGUAAUGGCCUACCAAGCCGACGAUCCAUAGCUGGUUUGAGAGGAUGAUCAGCCACACUGGGACUGGGACACGGCCCAGACUCCGACGGGAGGAAGCAGUGGGGAAUCUUAGACAAUGGGGGAAACCCUGAUCUAGCCAUGCCGCGUGAUCGAUGAAGGCCUUAGGGUUGUAAAGAUCUUUCAGUGGGGAAGUUAAUGACUGUACCCACAGAAGAAGCCCCGGCUAACUCCGUGCCAGCCGCCGCCGUAACAC
rnacentral:rRNA from 1 species